CCGAGAGUUGCAGGCUUUUGUCUGCCAUCUCUUACCCAUGUCUUUUGCGUACUACACGUUUCCUCGGCAGGUCCGCCUGCCGUUGGACCACAUUAAACCAUUUGCAGUUGCAGUCAGCGUCUGAAAAACAUAAUAAUUA
rnacentral:misc_RNA from 1 species